GAAAUCCACUAGGAGCCUUAGCACUCACCGGCGCAGAGCAAAAUAAUUUUAAAAAAUAAACAAAAGUCAGCCCAUUCCUCGGGAAUCCUAUUUUCACAGAAAUGAUUUUUCUCAUUUCUGCUCCUUAGGGAUCAAGACACUUCCCCAUUAUUCCUUCAAUCUGGUUCACGAAUCCACUCUUCCUCCAUCGUUCUCCUUGCGAAGCCCGGGACCGCUCCUUCCAGUCCACAAGACCCACAGACCACAAUAGAAUGAUACGCGUUGAAGUACUGAGCAGUUGUUGAAAACCCAAGACAACUCCUAAAAACAUGAUUCAUAGUUUCAGCACCCUCCCCACAUCUUGGACACAUCAUAUCGGCAACUAGUCUUUUGUAAUGCAUAUUUGAUAGCAUAGGGAAGAAUUUUUUGAAAUACGCCAUAUUGUAAUCUUGAUUUUAGAUGGUAGGUUUAAGCCCCAAAGUUGCUUGUAAAAUUCUCUAGCUGCAUUUUGUAAUUCAUCUAGGAUAGGAAUAGGAAUACUUGUCUGUAAAAAUUUGUAAGCACUCCUAACGGAGAACUCUCCUGAGGACUCACCUCCCUACACCAUCACGUCCUGCUGAGGAUUCGCUGCCAGCGGGAUUAGAAGUGUCCUGGCCACAUCAACAUCUGCAAAGGUAUUGGUAAUAAUCUCUCUCUUCCACUCACUAAAAGUUCUCUUAAUUAGAUCGGAAAAUAUAGAAACAUCAAGGUUUCGAACUGCGUUGCUUAAUUUAUAAUUAAUCAAACUCGGUAACCAAGCAUGAUUACAAA